rnacentral:rRNA from 1 species
UACGAAGGGGGGCUAGCGUUGCUCGGAAUCACUGGGCGUAAAGGGUGCGUAGGCGGGUCUUUUAAGUCAGGGGGUGAAAUCCUGGAGCUCAACUCCAGAACUGCCUUUGAUACUGAGGAUCUUGAGUUCGGGGAGAGGUGAGUGGAACUGCGAGUGUAGAGGUGAAAUUCGUAGAUAUUCGCAAGAACACCAGUGGCGAAGGCGGCUCACUGGCCCGAUACUGACGCUGAGGCACGAAAGCGUGGGGAGCAAACAGG